rnacentral:rRNA from 1 species
UUCGUGGGGUGUCGAGCCGUCGACCCUCUCGGAGAAGGUCGGUCCUGAACUCCACCCUUGAAUAAAUUACCUUUGUUGCUUUGGCGGGCCGCCUCGCGCCAGCGGCUUCGGCUGUUGAGUGCCCGCCAGAGGACCACAACUCUUGUUUUUAGUGAUGUCUGAGUACUAUAUAAUAGUUAAAACUUUCAACAACGGAUCUCUUGGUUCUGGCAUCGAUGAAGAACGCAGCGAAAUGCGAUAAGUAAUGUGAAUUGCAGAAUUCAGUGAAUCAUCGAAUCUUUGAACGCACAUUGCGCCCUCUGGUAUUCCGGGGGGCAUGCCUGUUCGAGCGUCAUUAUAACCACUCAAGCUCUCGCUUGGUAUUGGGGUUCGCGGUUCCGCGGCCCCUAAAAUCAGUGGCGGUGCCUGUCGGCUCUACGCGUAGUAAUACUCCUCGCGUCUGGGUCCGGUAGGUCUACUUGCCAGCAACCCCCAAUUUUUACAGGUUGACCUCGGAUCAGG